CAGACGAUGCGUCAUGCAUAUCAAUAAGCGGAGGAAAAGAAACUAACAAGGAUUCCCUAAGUAACGGCGAGUGAAGCGGGAAGAGCUCAAAUUUGAAAUCUUCAAGGUUUUACCUUGACGAAUUGUAGUUUAAAGAAGUGUUUUCUGCUGAAGUUUUGGUAAAAGUUCUUUGGAAUAGGACAUCAUAGAGGGUGAGAAUCCCGUAUUUGACCAUUAUUUUCAGCUUUGUGAUACACUUUCAAAGAGUCGGAUUGUUUGGGAAUGCAGUCCAAAAUGGGUGGUAAAUUUCAUCUAAAGCUAAAUAUUGGCGAGAGACCGAUAGCGAACAAGUACCGUGAGGGAAAGAUGAAAAGAACUUUGAAAAGAGAGUUAAACAGUACGUGAAAUUGUCAAAAGGGAAGCGUUUGACACCAGUGUUGUUUUCUCGAAAAUCAAUUAAAAAUGGCUCGAUUUUGUAUUGCUUGAGACCUUAAAAGCUCACUGUACAUUUUUCGUGUCUUUUUUAAUGCACUUUUCGUUUAACAAGUCAACAUCAGUUUCUUUUGUUGUAAAAGGGUCAUUGGAAGGUGGCUUUCUUUUCGGAGAAAGUGUUUAUAGCCUUUGGCCUCUGCAAUCGGAGAGACUGAGGUCUGCAGCGUAGACUCUUCGGGGUUAGAUACAUUUGUGCUAAGUUAUAGCUUUUUAUAGACAACUUGUUGACUAUAAUUAGUCUUGUAGCUUACUCGCUUAUGCUAUUUUACCUACGCUUAGGAUGUUGACUGAUAUGUAGUCGUA
rnacentral:rRNA from 1 species